GAUGAACGCUGGCGGCGUGCCUAAUACAUGCAAGUCGAGCGAACAGACGAGGAGCUUGCUCCUCUGAUGUUAUCGGCGGACGGGUGAGUAACACGUGGAUAACCUACCUAUAAGGCUGGGAUAACUUCGGGAAACCGGCGCUUAUACCGUAUAACAUGUUGAACCGCAUGGUUCAACAGUGAAAUACGGUUUUGUUGUCACUAAUUGAUGGAGCCUCGCCGCAUUAGCUAGUUGGUAAGGUAACGGCUUACCAAGGCAACGAUGCGUAGCCGACCUGAGAGGGUGAUCGGCCACACUGGAACUGAGACACGGCCCAGACUCCUACGGGAGGAAGCAGUAGGGAAUCUUCCGAAAUGGGCGAAAGCCUGACGGAGCAACGCCGCGUGAGUGAAGAAGGUCUUCGGAUCGUAAAACUCUGUUAUUAGGGAAGAACAAAUGUGUAAGUAACUAUGCACGUCUUGACGGUACCUAAUCAGAAAGCCACGGCUAACUACGUG
rnacentral:rRNA from 1 species